GACAGAGGAGCCAAGCGUUGUCCGGAUUGACUGGGCGUAAAGCGCACGCAGGCGGUCGCGCGCGUGGGGUGUGAAAUCUGGCCGCUUAACGGCCAGGCGCCAUCCCAUGCGGCGCGACUGGAGUGAUGCAGAGGUCGAUGGAAUUGCCGGUGUAGUGGUGAAAUGCGUAGAGAUCGGCAGGAACACCCAGGGGGAAACCAGUCUACUGGGCAUCUACUGACGCUGAGGUGCGAGAGCGUGGGGAGCGAACCGG
rnacentral:rRNA from 1 species